rnacentral:rRNA from 1 species
CGGUACCUACGGGGGGCAGCAGUGAGGAAUAUUGGUCAAUGGGCGCGAGCCUGAACCAGCCAAGUCGCGUGAGGGAUGACGGUCCUACGGAUUGUAAACCUCUUUUGCCGGGGAGCAAGCGUGCGUUCGUGAACGCGCGUCGAGAGUACCCGGAGAAAAAGCAUCGGCUAACUCCGUGCCAGCAGCCGCGGUAAUACGGAGGAUGCGAGCGUUAUCCGGAUUUAUUGGGUUUAAAGGGUGCGUAGGCGGAAUAUCAAGUCAGCGGUAAAAAUUCGGGGC